CAAAUUAUGGUGAAUGGUGGAUGUAUUUAUAGGCUAGGGAGAGGAGUGUAUGGAGUUGCAAUGAGUGGAUGUAAUGGGUGUAGUGGGUGAGUGUUGUGGUAAUGAGUGGAUGUAAUAGGUGUAGUGGGUGGAUGUUUGGUAAUGAGUGGAUGUAAUGGGUGUAGUGGGUGGAUGUUUGGUAAUGAGUGGAUGUAAUGGGUGUAGUGGGUUGUGGUAAUGAGUGGAUGUAAUGGGUGUAGUGGGUGGAUGUUUGGUAAUGAGUGGAUGUAAUGGGUGUAGUGGAUGAGUGUUUGGUAAUGAGUGGAUGUAAUGGGUGUAGUGGGUGGAUGUAAUGGGUGUAGUG
rnacentral:lncRNA from 1 species